rnacentral:rRNA from 1 species
GACGAACGCUGGCGGCGUGCCUAAUACAUGCAAGUAGAACGCUGAAGGAGGAGCUUGCUUCUCUGGAUGAGUUGCGAACGGGUGAGUAACGCGUAGGUAACCUGCCUGGUAGCGGGGGAUAACUAUUGGAAACGAUAGCUAAUACCGCAUAAUAGUAGAUGUUGCAUGACAUUUACUUAAAAGGUGCAAUUGCAUCACUACCAGAUGGACCUGCGUUGUAUUAGCUAGUUGGUGGGGUAACGGCUCACCAAGGCGACGAUACAUAGCCGACCUGAGAGGGUGAUCGGCCACACUUGGACUGAGACACGGCCCAGACUCCUACGGGAGGCAGCAGUAGGGAAUCUUCGGCAAUGGACGAAAGUCUGACCGAGCAACGCCGCGUGAGUGAAGAAGGUUUUCGGAUCGUAAAGCUCUGUUGUAAGAGAAGAACGAGUGUGAGAGUGGAAAGUUCACACUGUGACGGUAUCUUACCAGAAAGGGACGGCUAACUACGUG